rnacentral:rRNA from 1 species
UACGGAGGGUGCAAGCGUUGCUCGGAAUUAUUGGGCGUAAAGGGCAAGUAGGUGGUCUUGUUUGUCUGGGGUGAAAUCCCGUGGCUUAACUGCGGAAGUGCCCCAGAAACGGCAAGACUAGAGUACUGGAGAGGGUCGUGGAAUUCCCGGUGUAGCGGUGAAAUGCGCAGAUAUCGGGAGGAACACCAGUAGCGAAGGCGGCUCGCUGGGCCGUUCCUGACGCUGAGACGCGAAAGCUAGGGGAGCGAACAGG